rnacentral:tRNA from 3 species
GGACCGUUAGCUCAGUUGGCAGAGCAGCUGACUCUUAAUCAGCGGGUCGGAGGUUCGAGUCCUCCACGGUCCACCA